UUUCCGUAGGUGAACCUGCGGAAGGAUCAUUAAUGAAUCACUAUGUCUUUGGUUGUAGCUGGCUUUUAGGUGCACUUGUGCACACCUGUAAUUUUUAUCUUUCGACGUGUUCACUCAGUGUAGGCCUGGAUAAUUCUCACUUUUAUCAAAAGUUGAUACGAGGAUUGCUGAUCUGCAAUAUGAUCAGAUUUCUUUAAAUUUCCAGGUUCUAUGUUAUUUUUACACACCCCAAUUGUAUAAUGAAGAAUGUAGUCAAUGGGCUUUCAUUCUUAUAAAACAUAAUACAACUUUCAGCAACGGAUCUCUUGGCUCUC
rnacentral:misc_RNA from 1 species